GAUGAACGCUGGCGGCGUGCCUAAUACAUGCAAGUCGAGCGAACAGACGAGGAGCUUGCUCCUCUGACGUUAGCGGCGGACGGGUGAGUAACACGUGGAUAACCUACCUAUAAGACUGGGAUAACUUCGGGAAACCGGAGCUAAUACCGGAUAAUAUAUUGAACCGCAUGGUUCAAUAGUGAAAGACGGUUUUGCUGUCACUUAUAGAUGGAUCCGCGCCGCAUUAGCUAGUUGGUAAGGUAACGGCUUACCAAGGCAACGAUGCGUAGCCGACCGGAGAGGGGGAUCGGCCACACUGGAACUGAGACACGGUCCAGACUCCUACGGGAGGCAGCAGUAGGGAAUCUUCCGCAAUGGGCGAAAGCCUGACGGAGCAGCGCCGCGUGAGUGAUGAAGGUCUUCGGAUCGUAAAACUCUGUUAUUAGGGAAGAACAAAUGUGUAAGUAACUAUGCACGUCUUGACGGUACCUAAUCAGAAAGCCACGGCUAACUACGUG
rnacentral:rRNA from 1 species